ensembl:lncRNA
GCGGGCGAUGAGCGCGGCCGCGCGCGGGGAGCGAUCCCCGGCCACCACGGCCGCCAGCCCCGGAACCUCCCGGGCAAAGCGCACGGAACGGAGCCCCGAGGCUGCCAGCGGCUCCAGGACACGCAGCCCACCCUGGGGGGAUGGGGAGGGGUCAGGGAUCCCCCCCCAGGGACCCCCAGUGCUCCCAGUUCCCGCCAUCCUAUUCCCAGUUCCAUCCCAGUUCCCGUUAUCCCAUUCCCAGUUCCUGUUGUCCCAUUCCCAGUUCAAUUCCCAGUGCUCCCAGUCACUCCCAGCACGUCCAGGACACGCAGCCCACCCUGGGGACACGGCCAGGGGUCACGGACCCCCCCCCAGGGACCCCCAGUGCUCCCAGUUCCCGUUAUUCCAGUCCCAGUUCAAUUCCCAGUUCCUGUUGUCCCAUUCCCAGUUCCAUUCCCAGUGCUCCCAGUCUCUCCCAGCGCCUCCAGGACACGCAGCCCACCCUGGGGGGAUGGGGAGGGGUCAGGGACCCCCCCCAAGGACCCCCAGUGCUCCCAGUUCCCACCCUCCCAUUCCCAGUCUAUCCCAGUUCCCGUUAUCCAAUUCCCAGUUCCUGUUGUCCCANGGACCCCCAGUGCUCCCAGUUCCCACCCUCCCAUUCCCAGUCUAUCCCAGUUCCCGUUAUCCAAUUCCCAGUUCCUGUUGUCCCAUUCCCAGUUCAAUUCCCAGUGCUCCCAGUCACUCCCAGCACGUCCAGGACACGCAGCCCACCCUGGGGGCACAGCCAGGGGUCAGGGACCCCCCCCCAGGGACCCCCAGUGCUCCCAGUUCCCGUUAUUCCAGUCCCAGUUCAAUUCCAGUUCCAUUCCCAGUUCCCGUUAUCCAAUUCCCAGUUCCCGUUAUUCCAUUCCCAGUUCCAUUCCCAGUUCCAUUCCCAGUGCUCCCAGUCACUCCCAGUCCCUCCAGGACACGCAGCCCACCCUGGGGGCACGGCCAGGGGUCAGGGACCCCCACUCAUCCCAGUUCCCACCAUCCUAUUCCCAGUCUAUCCCAGUUCCCGUUAUCCAAUUCCCAGUUCCUGUUGUCCCAUUCCCAGUUCCAUUCCCAGUGCCCCCCAGUCACUCCCAGCGGCUCCAGGACACGCAGCCCACCCUGGGGGCACGGCCAGGGGUCAGGGACCCCCACCCAGGGACCCCCAGUGCUCCCAGUUCCCGUUAUUCCAGUCCCAGUCUAUCCCAGUUCCCGUUAUCCAAUUCCCAGUUCAAUUCCCAGUUCCAUUCCCAGUUCCAUUCCCAGUGCUCCCAGUCCCUCCCAGUCCCUCCCAGCGCCUCCAGGACACGCAGCCCACCCUGGGGGGAUGGGGAGGGGUCAGGGACCCCCCCCCAGGGACCCCCAGUGCUCCCAGUUCCCGUUAUUCCAGUCCCAGUUCAAUUCCAGUUCCAUUCCCAGUUCCAUUCCCAGUUCCAUUCCCAGUGCUCCCAGUCACUCCCAGUCCCUCCAGGACACGCAGCCCACCCUGGGGGGAUGGGGAGGGGUCAGGGACCCCCUCAAGAGCCUUCCCAGUCUAUCCCAGUUCCCGUUAUUCCAGUCCCAGUUCCCGUUAUUCCAGUCCCAGUUCAAUUCCCAGUUCCUGUUAUCCCAUUCCCAGUUCCAUUCCCAGUUCCUCUUAUCCCAUUCCCAGUGCUCCCAGUCACUCCCAGCACCUCCAGGACACGCAGCCCACCCUGGGGGCACGGCCAGGGGUCAGCGACCCCCCCCCAGGGACCCCCAGUGCUCCCAGUACCCACCAUCCCAUUCCCAGUUUAAUUCCCAGUUCAAUUCCUACUUCCUGUUAUCCCAUUCCCAGUGCUCCCAGUCCCCCCAGUCCCAUUCCCAGUUCCCGUUAUCCCAUUCCCAGUCCCCCCCAGUCUGUCCCAGUCCCCCCAGUCCCCCCCAGUUCCCAUUAUCCCAUUCCCAGUCCGUCCCAGUCCCAUUCCCAGUCCCUCCCAGUUCUCGUUAUCCCAUUCCCAGUCCCCCCAGUCCCAUUCCCAGUCC